rnacentral:rRNA from 1 species
UACGUAGGUGGCAAGCGUUGUCCGGAAUUAUUGGGCGUAAAGAGCGUGUAGGCGGCCAGAUAAGUCCGCUGUGAAAUCUCGAGGCUCAACUUCGAGCUGUCGGUGGAAACUGUCUGGCUAGAGUCCGGAAGAGGAGAAUGGAAUUCCCGGUGUAGCGGUGAAAUGCGCAGAUAUCGGGAGGAACACCGGUGGCGAAGGCGGGUCUCUGGGCCGAUACUGACGCUGAGGAGCGAAAGCGUGGGGAGCGAACAGG